rnacentral:rRNA from 1 species
AGAGUUUGAUCAUGGCUCAGAAUGAACGCUGGCGGCGUGCUUAACACAUGCAAGUCGAACGAGAACGGGAUUGCUUGCAAUCCUUAGUAGAGUGGCGCACGGGUGAGUAACACGUAGAUAAUCUACCUUCAAGCCUGGGAUAACUAUUCGAAAGGAUAGCUAAUACCGGAUGAAGUGUUUUGGCAUAAGCUGAUAUAUGAAAGGUUGCCUCUUCUUGAAAGCAAUUGUUUGGAGAUGAGUCUGCGGACCAUUAGUUUGUUGGUGGGGUAAAGGCCUACCAAGACUACGAUGGUUAGCUGGUCUGAGAGGAUGAUCAGCCACACUGGAACUGACACACGGUCCAGACUCCUACGGGAGGCAGCAGUGAGGAAUUUUGCGCAAUGGGGGAAACCCUGACGCAGCAACGCCGCGUGAGUGAAGAAGGCCCUUGGGUCGUAAAGCUCUGUCGACAGGGAAGAAAUUGUUUUAUAUUAAUAGUAUAAUUCAUUGACGGUACCUGUAGAGGAAGCACCGGCUAACUCCGUGCCAGCAGCCGCGGUAAUACGGGGGGUGCAAGCGUUAUUCGGAAUUAUUGGGCGUAAAGGGCGCGUAGGCGGUCUUGUCGGUCAGAUGUGAAAGCCCGGGGCUCAA